rnacentral:rRNA from 1 species
GAUGAACGCUGGCGGCGUGCCUAAUACAUGCAAGUCGAGCGAACGGGCGAGAAGCUUGCUUCUCUGAUGUUAGCGGCGGACGGGUGAGUAACACGUGGAUAGCCUACCUAUAAGACUGGGAUAACUUCGGGAAACCGGAGCUAAUACCGGAUAAUAUUUUGAACCGCAUGGUUCAAAAGUGAAAGACGGUCUUGCUGUCACUUAUAGAUGGAUCCGCGCUGCAUUAGCUAGUUGGUAAGGUAACGGCUUACCAAGGCAACGAUGCAUAGCCGACCUGAGAGGGGGAACGGCCACACUGGAACUGAGACACGGUCCAGACUCCUACGGGAGGCAGCAGUAGGGAAUCGUCCGCAAUGGGCGAAAGCCUGACGGAGCAACGCCGCGUGAGUGAUGAAGGUCUUCGGAUCGUAAAACUCUGUUAUUAGGGAAGAACAUAUGUGUAAGUAACUGUGCACAUCUUGACGGUACCUAAUCAGAAAGCCACGGCUAACUACGUG